rnacentral:rRNA from 1 species
UUUGAUGGNGACCGGCGCACGGGUGAGUAACGCGUAUCCAACCUGCCGAUGACUCGGGGAUAGCCUUUCGAAAGAAAGAUUAAUACCCGAUGGCAUAGUUCUUCCGCAUGGUAGAACUAUUAAAGAAUUUCGGUCAUCGAUGGGAUGCGUUCCAUUAGGUUGUUGGCGGGGUAACGGCCCACCAAGCCUUCGAUGGAUAGGGGUUCUGAGAGGAAGGUCCCCCACAUUGGAACUGAGACACGGUCCAAACUCCUACGGGAGGCAGCAUG